GCUGGAGUAUGGAGUAGUAAAAGGUAUCCAGAAAGGCAGGUGUACAGUGGCAUAUGGGAUUUCCUGGUACUUCUUUAAUAGGAACUAUCUUCACAGAUCAGGAUAUCAGGUCAGCUCCAGUUCUUGCUGGGACCAAUAAACAAUAGAAGCAACCACCAUAGAGACUGAAGAGGACAAAGGAAACCAAACCUCACUGUGUGUCUUCAAGAUCUUCUGUUCACAUAGUUGCAGGAAGUUGCUGUAGACAAAGUAUGAAGAAUGAAGCCCACCCAGGACAUCACAGCAACGAAAGAACUAUUUCUGGUAACUGUAGACCAGGUGAGAGCCACACUGUAGAACAGCAGUGCUGCCCUCUCUUCUUUGGCGAAUGUUAUGAAGACAUUCUGAUGCACUGAGGAUCAUGAUUCAUGUUAAAUGUAAAUUAAUCGUAAAAAUAACACAUCUUGCUCCAAAAUGUGACAAUUUAGAAGCUGUCUAUAUAGCCAGACCACUCUAAAUCACAGAACCUAGAAAGUAAAAAUGUGCCAUAAUUAGGACAGCAGAAAGUAACAGUAAAGUAAAGUUUUAA
rnacentral:sRNA from 1 species